rnacentral:rRNA from 1 species
AGUUAGGAAAUGUAGAAAUGUUAAUAGCAUUUCUAUUUGACUAAGGCUCCAGAGGAAGCCACGGCUAACUCUGUGCCAGCAGCCGCGGUAAUACAGAGGUGGCAAGCGUUGUUCGGAAUUAUUGGGCGUAAAGAGCACGUAGGCGGCCUUGCAAGUCAGUUGUGAAAGCCUUUCGCUCAACGGAAGAACGGCAGCUGAUACUACAGGGCUAGAGUACGGGAGGGGAGAGUGGAACUUCUGGU